rnacentral:ncRNA from 2 species
GUGUAACUUUCGGCCCAGUGCGCGAGCAUGCUCCGGCAGACUCAACGCACUGGAGGGACGGGGUGAAAUACCCCGGCUGUACCCGCAACUGUAACAGGCGAGCCGCCACUCACAUUGUGCCACUGGAGCGAUCCGGGAAGGCGAGUGAAGGCAACGACCCUGGAGCCAGGAAACCUGCCCUGCAAAACCAACAGAC